UAAGGGCAAUCUAGUUGUGACAUCUGUCACUCCAUUGAUCGUUAGGAUUGAUUCAACUGAUCUUCGCUGGUUAGACGGGUGCCCCCUGCAUCCCUCA
rnacentral:snRNA from 1 species